GAUGAACGCUGGCGGCGUGCCUAAUACAUGCAAGUCGAACGAAACUUCUUUAUCACCGAGUGCUUGCACUCACCGAUAAAGAGUUGAGUGGCGAACGGGUGAGUAACACGUGGGCAACCUGCCCAAAAGAGGGGGAUAACACUUGGAAACAGGUGCUAAUACCGCAUAACCAUAGUUACCGCAUGGUAACUAUGUAAAAGGUGGCUAUACUACCGCUUUUGGAUGGGCCCGCGGCGCAUUAGCUAGUUGGUAGGGUAAAGGCUUACCAAGGCAAUGAUGCGUAGCCGAAUUGAGAGGUUGAUCGGCCACAUUGGGACUGAGACACGGCCCAACCUCCUACGGGAGGCAGCAGUAGGGAAUCUUCCACAAUGGGCGAAAGCCUGAUGGAGCAACGCCGCGUGGGUGAAGAAGGUCUUCGGAUCGUAAAACCCUGUUGUUAGAGAAGAAAGUGCGUGAGAGUAACUGUUCACGUUUCGACGGUAUCUAACCAGAAAGCCACGGCUAACUACGUG
rnacentral:rRNA from 1 species